rnacentral:misc_RNA from 1 species
AAGUCGUAACAAGGUCUCCGUAGGUGAACCUGCGGAGGGAUCAUUACUGAGUGAGGGCCCUCGGGCUCGACCUCCCACCCUUUGUGAACACAACUUGUUGCUUCGGGGGCGACCCUGCCGUUUACGCGGCGAGCGCCCGCCGGACGGUCCAUUCAACACUGCAUUCAUUGCGGUCGGAGUUUAAGCAAAUUAAACAAAA